UUAUGUGAACCGUACCUAUCGUUGCUUCGGCGGGAACGCCCCGGCGCCCUGCGCCCGGAUCCAGGCGCCCGCCGGAGACCCCAAACUCUUGUGUUUUUUUCAGUAUUCUCUGAGUGGCAAACGCAAAAAUAAAUCAAAACUUUUAACAACGGAUCUCUUGGCUCUGGCAUCGAUGAAGAACGCAGCGAAAUGCGAUAAGUAAUGUGAAUUGCAGAAUUCAGUGAAUCAUCGAAUCUUUGAACGCACAUUGCGCCCGUUAGCAUUCUAGCGGGCAUGCCUGUCCGAGCGUCAUUUCAACCCUCAGGGUCCCCGUUCCGGCGGGGAACCUGGUGUUGGGGAUCGGCCCGCCCCGUGCGGCGCCGUCCCCCAAAUUCAGUGGCGGUCUCGCUGCAGCCUCCCCUGCGUAGUAGUUACAACCUCGCAUCGGAGCUCAGCGCGGCCACGCCGUAAAACCCCCGACUUUCUGAACGUUGACCUCGGAUCAGGUAGGAAUACCCGCUGAACUUAAGCAUAUCAAUAAGCGGAGGAAAAGAAACCAACAGGGAUUGCCUUAGUAACGGCGAGUGAAGCGGCAACAGCUCAAAUUUGAAAUCUGGCCCCAGGCCCGAGUUGUAAUUUGCAGAGGAUGCUUUUGGCGCGGUGCCUUCCGAGUUCCCUGGAACGGGACGCCAUAGAGGGUGAGAGCCCCGUCUGGUUGGAUACCAAGCCUUUGUAAAGCUCCUUCGACGAGUCGAGUAGUUUGG
rnacentral:misc_RNA from 1 species